rnacentral:rRNA from 1 species
UGGGGCAGCUACACAUGCAAGUCGAGCGGAUGAGUGGAGCUUGCUCCAUGAUUCAGCGGCGGACGGGUGAGUAAUGCCUAGGAAUCUGCCUGGUAGUGGGGGACAACGUUUCGAAAGGAACGCUAAUACCGCAUACGUCCUACGGGAGAAAGUGGGGGAUCUUCGGACCUCACGCUAUCAGAUGAGCCUAGGUCGGAUUAGCUAGUUGGUGAGGUAAAGGCUCACCAAGGCGACGAUCCGUAACUGGUCUGAGAGGAUGAUCAGUCACACUGGAACUGAGACACGGUCCAGACUCCUACGGGAGGCAGCAGUGGGGAAUAUUGGACAAUGGGCGAAAGCCUGAUCCAGCCAUGCCGCGUGUGUGAAGAAGGUCUUCGGAUUGUAAAGCACUUUAUAUUGGGAGGAAGGGCAGUAAGUUAAUACCUUGCUGUUUUGACGUUACCAACAGAAUAAGCACCGGCUAACUUCGUGCCAGCAGCCGCGGUAAUACGAAGGGUGCAAGCGUUAAUCGGAAUUACUGGGCGUAAAGCGCGCGUAGGUGGUUCGUUAAGUUGGAUGUGAAAGCCCCGGGCUCAACCUGGGAACUGCAUCCAAAACUGGCGAGCUAGAGUAUGGCAGAGGGUGGUGGAAUUUCCUGUGUAGCGGUGAAAUGCGUAGAUAUAGGAAGGAACACCAGUGGCGAAGGCGACCACCUGGGCUAAUACUGACACUGAGGUGCGAAAGCGGUGGGGGAGCAAACAGGAUUAGAUACCCUGGUAGUCCACGCCGUAAACGAUGUCGACUAGCCGUUGGGAUCCUGAGAUCUAUGCGCAGCUACGCAUAGUCGACCGCCUGGGGAGUACGGCCGCAGUUAAACUCAAUGAAUU